UACGUAGGGUGCAAGCGUUAAUCGGAAUUACUGGGCGUAAAGCGUGCGCAGGCGGUUAUGUAAGACAGGUGUGAAAUCCCCGGGCUUAACCUGGGAACUGCAUUUGUGACUGCAUAGCUAGAGUACGGUAGAGGGGGAUGGAAUUCCGUGUGUAGCAGUGAAAUGCGUAGAUAUGCGGAGGAACACCGAUGGCGAAGGCAAUCCCCUGGGCCUGUACUGACGCUCAUGCACGAAAGCGUGGGGAGCAAACAGG
rnacentral:rRNA from 1 species